UUGCACGCUGGCGGCAGGCCUAACCCCUGCAAGUCGAGUGGAUGAAGGGAGCUUGCUCCUGGAUUCAGCGGCGGACGGGUGAGUAAUGCCUAGGAAUCUGCCUGGUAGUGGGGGAUAACGUCCGGAAACGGGCGCUAAUACCGCAUACGUCCUGAGGGAGAAAGUGGGGGAUCUUCGGACCUCACGCUAUCAGAUGAGCCUAGGUCGGAUUAGCUAGUUGGUGGGGUAAAGGCCUACCAAGGCGACGAUCCGUAACUGGUCUGAGAGGAUGAUCAGUCACACUGGAACUGAGACACGGUCCAGACUCCUACGGGAGGCAGCAGUGGGGAAUAUUGGACAAUGGGCGAAAGCCUGAUCCAGCCAUGCCGCGUGUGUGAAGAAGGUCUUCGGAUUGUAAAGCACUUUAAGUUGGGAGGAAGGGCAGUAAGUUAAUACCUUGCUGUUUUGACGUUACCAACAGAAUAAGCACCGGCUAACUUCGUG
rnacentral:rRNA from 1 species